AUUGAACGCUGGCGGCAUGCUUUACACAUGCAAGUCGAACGGCAGCGCGGGCUUCGGCCUGGCGGCGAGUGGCGAACGGGUGAGUAAUAUAUCGGAACGUACCCAAGAGUGGGGAUAACGUAGCGAAGUUACGCUAAUACCGCAUACGAUCUAAGGAUGAAAGCAGGGGAUCGCAAGACCUUGUGCUCCUGGAGCGGCCGAUAUCUGAUUAGCUAGUUGGUGAGGUAAAGGCUCACCAAGGCAACGAUCAGUAGCUGGUCUGAGAGGACGACCAGCCACACUGGAACUGAGACACGGUCCAGACUCCUACGGGAGGCAGCAGUGGGGAAUUUUGGGACAAUGGGGGGCAACCCUGAUCCAGCAAUGCCGCGUGAGUGAAGAAGGCCUCGGUGUAAGCUCUUUGUCAGGAAGAAAGGACUGUGGCUAAUAUCCACAGCUGCUGACGGUACCUGAAGAAUAAG
rnacentral:rRNA from 1 species